UACGGAGGGUGCGAGCGUUGCUCGGAAUCAUUGGGCGUAAAGGGCGCGUAGGUGGCCUGGCAAGCGUGCGGUGAAAGCUCGGGGCUCAACCCCGAGUCGGCCGUGCGAACUGCUGGGCUCGAGCACUGUAGAGGCAGGCGGAAUUCCGGGUGUAGCGGUGGAAUGCGUAGAUAUCAGGAGGAAUACCGAUGGCGAAGGCAGGUCUCUGGGCUAGAACUGACGCUCAUGCACGAAAGCGUGGGGAGCAAACAGG
rnacentral:rRNA from 1 species